UUUGGUUAAGUUAGAAAGGGCGCACGGUGGAUGCCUUGACACUAGGAGUCGAUGAAGGACGGGACUAACGCCGAUAUGCUUCGGGGAGCUGUAAGUAAGCUUUGAUCCGAAGAUUUCCGAAUGGGGAAACCCACCAUACGUAAUGGUAUGGUAUCCUUAUCUGAAUACAUAGGGUAAGGAAGACAGACCCAGGGAACUGAAACAUCUAAGUACCUGGAGGAAGAGAAAGCAAAUGCGAUUUCCUGAGUAGCGGCGAGCGAAACGGAACAUAGCCCAAACCAAGAGGCUUGCCUCUUGGGGUUGUAGGACAUUCUAUACGGAGUUACAAAGGAACGAGGUAGACGAAGCGACCUGGAAAGGUCCGUCGUAGAGGGUAACAACCCCGUAGUCGAAACUUCGUUCUCUCUUGAAUGUAUCCUGAGUACGGCGGAACACGUGAAAUUCCGUCGGAAUCUGGGAGGACCAUCUCCCAAGGCUAAAUACUCCCUAGUGAUCGAUAGUGAACCAGUACCGUGAGGGAAAGGUGAAAAGCACCCCGGAAGGGGAGUGAAAGAGAUCCUGAAACCGUGUGCCUACAAAUAGUCAGAGCCCGUUAACGGGUGAUGGCGUGCCUUUUGUAGAAUGAACCGGCGAGUUACGAUCCCGUGCGAGGUUAAGCUGAAGAGGCGGAGCCGCAGCGAAAGCGAGUCUGAAUAGGGCGUUUAGUACGUGGUCGUAGACCCGAAACCAGGUGAUCUACCCAUGUCCAGGGUGAAGUUCAGGUAACACUGAAUGGAGGCCCGAACCCACGCACGUUGAAAAGUGCGGGGAUGAGGUGUGGGUAGCGGAGAAAUUCCAAUCGAACCUGGAGAUAGCUGGUUCUCCCCGAAAUAGCUUUAGGGCUAGCCUUAAGUGUAAGAGUCUUGGAGGUAGAGCACUGAUUGGACUAGGGGUCCUCAUCGGAUUACCGAAUUCAGUCAAACUCCGAAUGCCAAUGACUUAUCCUUAGGAGUCAGACUGCGAGUGAUAAGAUCCGUAGUCAAAAGGGAAACAGCCCAGACCGCCAGCUAAGGUCCCAAAGUGUGUAUUAAGUGGAAAAGGAUGUGGAGUUGCUUAGACAACUAGGAUGUUGGCUUAGAAGCAGCCACCAUUUAAAGAGUGCGUAAUAGCUCACUAGUCGAGUGACUCUGCGCCGAAAAUGUACCGGGGCUAAAUACACCACCGAAGCUGCGGAUUGAUACCAAUGGUAUCAGUGGUAGGGGAGCGUUCUAAGGACAGUGAAGUCAGACCGGAAGGACUGGUGGAGUGCUUAGAAGUGAGAAUGCCGGUAUGAGUAGCGAAAGACGGGUGAGAAUCCCGUCCACCGAAUGCCUAAGGUUUCCUGAGGAAGGCUCGUCCGCUCAGGGUUAGUCAGGACCUAAGCCGAGGCCGACAGGCGUAGGCGAUGGACAACAGGUUGAUAUUCCUGUACCACCUCUUUAUCGUUUGAGCAAUGGAGGGACGCAGAAGGAUAGAAGAAGCGUGCGAUUGGUUGUGCACGUCCAAGCAGUUAGGCUGAUAAGUAGGCAAAUCCGCUUAUCGUGAAGGCUGAGCUGUGAUGGGGAAGCUCCUUAUGGAGCGAAGUCUUUGAUUCCCCGCUGCCAAGAAAAGCUUCUAGCGAGAUAAAAGGUGCCUGUACCGCAAACCGACACAGGUAGGCGAGGAGAGAAUCCUAAGGUGUGCGAGAGAACUCUGGUUAAGGAACUCGGCAAAAUGACCCCGUAACUUCGGGAGAAGGGGUGCUUUCUUAACGGAAAGCCGCAGUGAAUAGGCCCAAGCGACUGUUUAGCAAAAACACAGCUCUCUGCGAAGCCGUAAGGCGAAGUAUAGGGGGUGACACCUGCCCGGUGCUGGAAGGUUAAGGAGAGGGGUUAGCGUAAGCGAAGCUCUGAACUGAAGCCCCAGUAAACGGCGGCCGUAACUAUAACGGUCCUAAGGUAGCGAAAUUCCUUGUCGGGUAAGUUCCGACCCGCACGAAAGGUGUAACGAUUUGGGCACUGUCUCAACCAGAGACUCGGUGAAAUUAUAGUACCUGUGAAGAUGCAGGUUACCCGCGACAGGACGGAAAGACCCCGUGGAGCUUUACUGUAGCCUGAUAUUGAAUUUUGGUACAGUUUGUACAGGAUAGGCGGGAGCCUUUGAAACCGGAGCGCUAGCUUCGGUGGAGGCGCUGGUGGGAUACCGCCCUGACUGUAUUGAAAUUCUAACCUACGGGUCUUAUCGACCCGGGAGACAGUGUCAGGUGGGCAGUUUGACUGGGGCGGUCGCCUCCUAAAGUGUAACGGAGGCGCCCAAAGGUUCCCUCAGAAUGGUUGGAAAUCAUUCGUAGAGUGCAAAGGCAUAAGGGAGCUUGACUGCGAGACCUACAAGUCGAGCAGGGACGAAAGUCGGGCUUAGUGAUCCGGUGGUUCCGCAUGGAAGGGCCAUCGCUCAACGGAUAAAAGCUACCCCGGGGAUAACAGGCUUAUCUCCCCCAAGAGUCCACAUCGACGGGGAGGUUUGGCACCUCGAUGUCGGCUCAUCGCAUCCUGGGGCUGUAGUCGGUCCCAAGGGUUGGGCUGUUCGCCCAUUAAAGCGGUACGCGAGCUGGGUUCAGAACGUCGUGAGACAGUUCGGUCCCUAUCCGUCGUGGGCGUAGGAAAUUUGAGAGGAGCUGUCCUUAGUACGAGAGGACCGGGAUGGACGCACCGCUGGUGUACCAGUUGUUCUGCCAAGGGCAUAGCUGGGUAGCUAUGUGCGGAAGGGAUAAGUGCUGAAAGCAUCUAAGCAUGAAGCCCCCUCAAGAUGAGAUUUCCCAUAGCGUAAGCUAGUAAGAUCCCUGAAAGAUGAUCAGGUUGAUAGGUUCGAGGUGGAAGCAUGGUGACAUGUGGAGCUGACGAAUACUAAUAGAUCGAGGACUUAACCAUAUAA
rnacentral:rRNA from 2 species